AUGCUUGCUUUGACAGCACAGAUACUAAUAUUGCAAUGAUACAGAGAAGAUUGGUGUGGCCCCUACACAAGGAUGACAUGCAAACCUGUGAAGAAUUCUAUUAUUUA
ensembl:snRNA U6 U6 spliceosomal RNA